rnacentral:rRNA from 1 species
GAUGAAUGCUGGCGGCGUGCCUAACACAUGCAAGUCGAGCGGCAGCGCGAGUAGUUUACUACUUGGCGGCGAGCGGCGGACGGCUGAGUAACGCGUGGGAACGUGCCCCAAAGUGAGGAAUAACUGCCCGAAAGGGUGGCUAAUGCCGCAUAUGAUCUUCGGAUUAAAGUCUUCGGACGCUUUGGGAGCGGCCCGCGUUAGAUUAGGUAGUUGGUGAGGUAAUGGCUCACCAAGCCGACGAUCUAUAGCUGGUCUGAGAGGAUGAUCAGCCAGACUGGAACUGAGCCACGGUCCAGACUCCUACGGGAGGCAGCAGUGAGGAAUCUUCCACAAUGGGCGAAAGCCUGAUGGAGCAACGCCGCGUGAAGGAUGAAGGCCCUAGGGUUGUAAACUUCUUUUAUAAGUGAAGAAUAUGACGGUAACUUAUGAAUAAGCACCGGCUAACUACGUGCCAGCAGCCGCCGUAA